rnacentral:rRNA from 1 species
CCGUAAACGAUGGAUACUAGGUGUAGGGGGUAUCAACUCCCCCUGUGCCGCAGUUAACACAAUAAGUAUCCCGCCUGGGGAGUACGGUCGCAAGAUUAAAACUCAAAGGAAUUGACGGGGGCCCGCACAAGCAGCGGAGCAUGUGGUUUAAUUCGAAGCAACGCGAAGAACCUUACCUGGACUUGACAUCCCUUGCAUAGCCUAGAGAUAGGUGAAGCCCUUCGGGGCAAGGAGACAGGUGGUGCAUGGUUGUCGUCAGCUCGUGUCGUGAGAUGUUAGGUUAAGUCCUGCAACGAGCGCAACCCUUGUUAUUAGUUGCUACCAUUAAGUUGAGCACUCUAAUGAGACUGCCUGGGUAACCAGGAGGAAGG